AUUGAACGCUGGCGGCAGGCCUAACACAUGCAAGUCGAACGGUAACAGGAAGAAGCUUGCUUCUUUGCUGACGAGUGGCGGACGGGUGAGUAAUGUCUGGGAAACUGCCUGAUGGAGGGGGAUAACUACUGGAAACGGUAGCUAAUACCGCAUAACGUCGCAAGACCAAAGAGGGGGACCUUCUGGCCUCUUGCCAUCGGAUGUGCCCAGAUGGGAUUAGCUAGUAGGUGGGGUAACGGCUCACCUAGGCGACGAUCCCUAGCUGGUCUGAGAGGAUGACCAGCUGCACUGGAGCUGAGACACGGUCCAGACUCCUACGGGAGGCAGCGGAGGGGAAUAUUGCACAAUGGGCGCGAGCCUGAUGCAACCAUGCCGCGUGUAUGAAGAAGGCCUUCGGGUUGUAAGGUGCUUUCAGCGGGGAGGAAGGGAGUAAAGUUAAUACCGUGGCUCAUUGACGUUACCCGCAGAAGAAGCACCGGCUAACUCCGUG
rnacentral:rRNA from 1 species